rnacentral:rRNA from 1 species
UAGCCCUUUGAAUAUUUAAAGGGUCCCGCCUGCCCAGUGGCCUAAAGGCUAAACGGCCGCGGUAUCUUGACCGUGCAAAGGUAGCAUAAUCAUUUGUCUUUUAAAUGGAGACUUGUAUGAACGGCGAAACCUUUUUCAACCGUCUCCCCUCCCACCCUUCUAAAUUCCUCCUUGUGUGAAGAAGCACAAGUAACAUAGAAAGACGAGAAGACCCUGUCGAGCUUUAGCCUAUAAGUGAGCAGCAACCCAACAUAUCACCCAAAGGCUUUGGUUGGGGCAACCACGGAGAAAAAAAAUCCUCCAGAACAAAUAGAAGAAACCCCUUCACUAUUGAUAUAACCUAGAACCAGGAACUGGUAUUCGGAAAAAGUUACCGCAGGGAUAACAGCGUUAUCUUCUCUAAGAGUCCUUAUUGACGAGAAGGUUUGCGACCUCGAUGUUGGAUUGGGGCCCCCUCAGGGUGCAGAAGCUCUGAACGGUUAGACUGUUCGUCUAUUAAAGCCCU